GAGGGGUGGUCGAGUUGGUCUAAGGCACCGGACUUGAAAUCCGGCGUAUCGGCAACGAUACCGUGGGUUCGAAUCCCACCCCCUCC
rnacentral:tRNA from 1 species